rnacentral:rRNA from 1 species
ACGCAAUAGAUACCCAGGUAGUCCUAGCCGUAAACGAUGAACACUAGGCGUUGUCGGUAUCGACCCCGGCAGUGCCGUAGCUAACGCAUUAAGUGUUCCGCCUGGGGAGUACGGCCGCAAGGCUAAAAACUCAAAGGAAUUGACGGGGGCCCGCACAAGCAGCGGAGCGUGUGGUUUAAUUCGUCGCAACGCGAAGAACCUUACCAGGGCUUGACAUGUGGCGGAAAACGGCGGAAACGUCGUCCUCCCGCAAGGGACCGCCAUGCAGGUGUUGCAUGGCUGUCGUCAGCUCGUGUCGUGAGAUGUUGGGUUAAGUCCCGCAACGAGCGCAACCCCCGUGGCAUGUUGUAUCACUCAUGCCAGACUGCCGAGAGAAACUCGGAGGAAGUGGGGAUGACGUCAAGUCAGCAUGGCCCUUACGGCCCUGGGCUACACACACGCUACAAUGGCCGGUACAACGGGUUG